UGCUCCUACGGGGCGCAGCAGUGAGGAAUAUUGGUCAAUGGGCUUACGCCUGAACCAGCCAAGUCGCGUGAGGGAAGACUGCCCUAUGGGUUGUAAACCUCUUUUGUCAGGGAGCAACGCCGGCUACGUGUAGCCGGACUGAGAGUACCUGAAGAAAAAGCAUCGGCUAACUACGUGCCAGCAGCCGCGGUAAAACGUAGGGGGCGAGCGUUGUCCGGAAUGACUGGGCGUAAAGGGUGCGUAGGCGGCAUAAUAAGUUAGAAGUGAAAUACCCAGAGCUUAACUCGGGUGCUGCUUCUAAGACU
rnacentral:rRNA from 1 species